UUGCUGUGAUACUUUGAAUUUCUAAAACUGAAUAAUCUAUGUGGAUUAAAAACAAACCUUGUAACCCUGAGCUAA
rnacentral:snoRNA from 1 species